rnacentral:rRNA from 1 species
AUGUUUCUGCAGAAGAAUUUGGUAUCUAAGUUUCCUCAAGAGACUAGAUUGCUUACGAUGAUGGCUGAGGAAACCAAAUCAAAGAAGCAAAAAGACGAGGAACACAUUAUAAACGGUCUCCCAGGAGAACUCAUUGAGCGGAUAUUUUUUAAGCUUCCAGUGAGCACUUUGUUGAGGUGCACUGGUGUCUGCAAGGAAUGGCACAAAAUCAUCCGAGAUCCCCAGUUUGUCACCUCUCACCUCCAGGAUGCGCCCCAAUGUGCUUUCCUAUUCUUCCCACAAGAGUCGAUCUCAGGAAAGCUCUAUCCUGCUGAUGCUAUCCUGAUUGAUGAGACCUGGUCACAGUCGACAUGUGCAGUGCCAGUGGUUGGCCCUGGUGAUUCCCUUUGUGGUUCAUGCAACGGGCUUCUUUGCUUAUACACAAAGUCAUCAACACUCAAGAUAGCUAACCUUGCAACGGGUGAAUGCCUGCAUCUUGAUAAACCUGUAAAGAAUUUAAGGGGUGAUUACUUCUUCUUGUAUAACUUUGGAUUUCACCCAGUGACAAAAGAAUACAAGAUUAUACACUUCCUUGGUGAUUCUGUCGAGGGCCGCCCUCUCCAUAAUAAUAGCAGAUUCAGAGUCGUUCAAGUUUACACACUUGGUGAUGACAAAUGGAGAGAUAUUAAAACUCCAGAAGCCCUAAGUUUAAACUGUCUAAAAAACUCUGGAGCAGUUAAUAUUGGUGGAACAAUGUACUGGCUAACUGAAGACAUGGUAGCUAGCUGGCAGCAUGCAGUUAUUACCUUUGAUCUCGGUGAAGAAAGUUUUGCACGGAUACAACUGCCAGCAACUGUACUCGAAGACUCUGCAGGUGAUGGGCCUCGUCGGUACUGGGUUAGAGAGAUUGAUGGGAAGAUAUGUAUAGCAACGGCUCAAACCUGUUCCUUUCAGCCCAGAAGGCUUGUUGGUAAGCUGCAAAUUUGGACACUUGAGAACAAAACGGAGCAAAGGUGGAGCCAGAAGUACAAUAUUCAGUACUCACCUGAUUACAUUCCGGGUCCAAAUUUGGUUCAUAGGGAUAAGACCAUAUUGCAACGCCGUGACCGUAACCUAUAUUCCUAUGAGUUGCUUGGGGACAACUCCAAUACUAAAUUGUGUAAGAUGACAAAGCUGUUAGAUUUCAGGCCCCACAAGCCUGACAACAUGCAAUCCUACAUCUGUGUGAAGUCACUUAUACGCUUAGAUGUAUACAAGAAGGCUGGCAUUGUUCGUAGGCCAAAACAGCGGGGAGUGUGGGAAUUGAAGAAGUGGGAAGCGUGGGAGCACAAGCUCUCUGAGAAUGAAAGAAUAUGGACCGAUACUCAUCGAGACGAGCAUGUGGGAGCUGCACAUGCACAAUGCUAUCGCACGAUGAUCAAUGAUGUGCUGCCACGUAUAUUGGAUGACACAAUUCAACUGGAAAUAGGCAUGAAAAUCAAUCAAAUAUUUCCGAACAUUCCUGAUCAGCAGCCAAGGCCCCUCCGGCGGCUUAAUUGUGUGGCGCAGAAGCAGGAUAGGGAAAAUUUAUUUGUUCGUAUGGAGAAUUGGAAUAAUAUUACGAAGGCUACGAGGGAGGCAAGGCAUAGUAUCUUUAGCAUGAUGGUUAAUGCUGUAUUAAAUCAGAUCGGCGCCUCGAGUUCAGACGCUGGCAUUUCUUCUCAGAAUCGCAGUGAGGGCGAUGAUGUGAAGAUUUGA